UUAACACAUGCAAGUCGAACGCGACCUUCGGGUUGAGUGGCGGACGGGUGAGUAACGCGUGAUAAUCUGCCUUGGGGUCGGGGACAACCACUGGAAACCGGUGGCUAAUACCGGAUAAGCCUUUCGGGUAAAAAAUUUAUUGCCCCAAGAGGAGCUCGCGUCUGAUUAGCUAGUUGGUGAGGUAAAAGCUCACCAAGGCAGCGAUCAGUAGCUGGUCUGAGAGGACGAUCAGCCACACUGGGACUGAUACACGGCCCAGACUCCGUACGGGAGUGCAGCAGUGGGGAAUUUUCCGUAAUGGGCGAAAGCCUGACGGAGCAAGACCAGAUGAGGGAGGAAGGCUCUUGGGUUGUAAACCUCUUGUCUCAGGGAAGAAGCUCUGACGGUACCUGAGGAAUCAGCCUCGGCUAACUCCGUGCCAGCAGCCGCGGUAAUACGGAGGAGGCAAGCGUUAUCCGGAAUUAUUGGGCGUAAAGCGUCCGCAGGUGGCGAUUCAAGUCUGCUGUCAAAGCACGGGGCUUAACUCCGUUAAGGCAGUGGAAACUGAAUAGCUAGAGUGCCGUAGGGGUAGAGGGAAUUCCCGGUGUAGCGGUGAAAUGCGUAGAGAUCGGGACGAACAUCGGUGGCGAAAGCGCUCUACUGGACGGCAACUGACACUCAGGGACGAAAGCUAGGGGAGCGAAUGGGAUUAGAUACCCCAGUAGUCCUAGCUGUAAACGAUGGAUACUAGGUGUAGCUUGUAUCGACCCGAGCUGUGCCGAAGCUAACGCGUUAAGUACCCCGCCUGGGGAGUACGCACGCAAGUGUGAAACUCAAAGGAAUUGACGGGGGCCCGCACAAGCGGUGGAGUAUGUGGUUUAAUUCGAUGCAACGCGAAGAACCUUACCAGGGCUUGACAUGUCCGGAAUCCCGGUGAAAGCUGGGAGUGCCUUCGGGAGCCGGAACACAGGUGGUGCAUGGCUGUCGUCAGCUCGUGUCGUGAGAUGUUGGGUUAAGUCCCGCAACGAGCGCAACCCUCGUCUUUAGUUGCCAGCAUUAAGUUGGGCACUAUAGAGAGACUGCCGGUGACAAACCGGAGGAAGGUGGGGAUGACGUCAAGUCAGCAUGCCCCUUACGCUCUGGGCGACACACGUACUACAAUGGUCGGGACAGAGGGCAGC
rnacentral:rRNA from 1 species